rnacentral:rRNA from 1 species
AUUGAACGCUGGCGGCAUGCUUUACACAUGCAAGUCGGACGGCAGCACAGAGAAGCUUGCUUCUUGGGUGGCGAGUGGCGAACGGGUGAGUAAUAUAUCGGAACGUACCGAGUAAUGGGGGAUAACUAAUCGAAAGAUUAGCUAAUACCGCAUAUUCUCUGAGGAGGAAAGCAGGGGACCUUCGGGCCUUGCGUUAUUCGAGCGGCCGAUAUCUGAUUAGCUAGUUGGUGGGGUAAAGGCCUACCAAGGCGACGAUCAGUAGCGGGUCUGAGAGGAUGAUCCGCCACACUGGGACUGAGACACGGCCCAGACUCCUACGGGAGGCAGCAGUAGGGAAUUUUGGACAAUGGGCGCAAGCCUGAUCCAGCCAUGCCGCGUGUCUGAAGAAGGCCUUCGGGUUGUAAAGGACUUUUGUCAGGGAAGAAAAGGCUGUUGCUAAUAUCGACAGCUGAUGACGGUACCUGAAGAAUAAGCACCGGCUAACUACGUG